rnacentral:rRNA from 1 species
AUGUUCUGCUUCCCAAUUGCAGACAAGAAAAAGAGAGCAUCAUGGACCAGUGCUCAACAAGACCUGCUCGUUUCUGUGAUGAAAGAGUAUGCAUAUCCAGCUAGAUUUCGCGGUCGGAAUGGAUGGACCAAAGAAGGAUGGAAUAGCAUAACUACACGAUUGAAUAAUCAGUUUCCGAGAGCUAAUUUCAUUGUUUGUCAACUAAAAUUUAGAGAGCAGCGGUUGAAGAAAGAAUAUUUUGUUGUCAAAUCUAUUGUAGAGAAGAGUGGCUUCGGUUUUGAUCCUAUUACAAAAAUGCCAACAACCAUUGAUGAAAAAUGGGAUGAAUUGAGCAAAGAACAACAGAAGUGGAGAUACAAAGCUUUCCCUUACUACGAUGAUUUGCAUGCAAUUUAUGAUGCGGAGGGGAAGGGUUGUAAGAGGACAACUGAUGUGGUCGAAGAGAAGUCCAGUCCGGCUACAGAUUUACCACAAGGGGAAAGCUUCACACAAUAG